GAUGAACGCUGGCGGCGUGCCUAAUACAUGCAAGUCGAACGAACAGACGAGGAUCUUGCUCCUCUGACGUUAUCGGCGGACGGGUGAGUAACACGUGGAUAACCUACCUAUAAGACUGGUGUAACUUCGGGAAACCGGAGCUAAUACCGGAUAAUAUAUUGAACCGCAUGGUUCAAUAGUGGAAUACGGUUUUUCUGUCACUUAUAGAUGGAUCCGCGCCGCAUUAGCUAGUUGGUAAGGUAACAGCUUACCAAGGCAACGAUGCGUAGCCGACCUGAGAGGGUGAUCGGACACCUGGGCAGUGAGACACGGCACAGACUCCGACGGGAGGAAGCAGUCGGGAAUCCUACGCAAUGCGCGAGAGCCUGACGGAGCAAAGUCGCGUGAGUGCUGAAGGUCCCAUGCUCGUAAAACUAUGUUAUUAGGAAAGAACAAAUGUGCAAGUACCUAUGAACGUAUUGACGGUACCCAAUCAGAAAGCCACGGCUAACUACGUG
rnacentral:rRNA from 1 species